UUAUAUUUUUAUUUGUAACAUAAGUCCAGGAAGUGGCAAUCUAACUUUUGACAGACCCUCCAAGGCACUGGUUCACUCCUUCCGCUCAACCCAGAACCAGGAGGUCAUGAUCAGUCGUGGAGACAAUGCUGCAAAUUACUAUGAGGUGACAGAAAUCGUGAGGUACCUUAUAAUAUUGUGUCAGGCCUCCUUUCGCCCAGUAUAGUGCAGCAACUCGAUGUGGCAUGGGCUGUACAAGUCCGCUGCAGGAAUACUGUUCCAUGCCGACCCUAUUCCUGCCCAGAAAUGCAAAAGUGUUGCCGAUGCAGGAUUUUGUGCAUGAACUGCCAUUUGGAUAUGCCCUAUCAGUGUUCAAUGGGAUUCAUAUCGGGCAAUCUGUGUGGCCAAAUCAUUCACUGGAAUUGGCCAGAAUGUUCUUCAAACUAACUGUGAACAGUUGUGGCCCAAUGAUACGGCAUAAAGUCAUCCAUAAAACCUCCAUAGUUGUUUGGAAAGAAAUGGUCUCAAAGUAUCCAAACAAAAUAAUUUCCAGUCAAUGUUAAUUCAGAUGGACCAAAGGACUGUAUCCAUUCCAUGUAAACACAGUCCACACCACUAUGGAGCCACCACCAGCAUGCACAGUGUCUUGUUGACAAGUUCAUGGGAUCUGUACCACACUUGAAUGCUACCAUCAGCUCUUACCAACAGAAAUCAGGACUCAUUUGAUCAGGCCAUGGUUUUCCAGUCAUAUAGGGUCCAGCCAAUGUCAUGAGCCCGCUCUGUUGGUGAUGUGCCGUUAGCACAGACACUCGCAUUGUUCAUCUGCUGCUAUAGCUCAUCAACACCGAAUUUCGCCAUACGGUCCUAAUAGAUGUAUUUGUCAUAUGUCCCACAUUGAUUUCUGCGUUUAUUUCACACAGUUUUGCUUGAAUAUUAGCAUUGACAAUUCUAAGCAAAUGCUGCUGCUCUCAGGCGUUAAGUGAAGUCAGUCAACCACUGCGUUGUCCACAGUGAGAGGUAAUGACUGAAAUUUGGUGUUUGUGGCACACUCUUGACACUGUUGAUCUUGGAAUAUUAAAUUCCCUAACAAUUUCUAAAUUGGAAUGUCCCAUGUCACUGAUUACCUCUCUGCAUUCAGUCUGUUAAUUCCCUUUGUGCAACCAUUAUCAGGUGAUAAACCUUUUCACUCAAAUCACCUGAGUACAAAUAACAGCUCUGCCAAUACAAUGAUCCAUUCUUUUGUAUGCAUUGCUACCAUCAUCAGUAUGUUACUUGAAUAUCGCUAUGCAUGAGUUUUGUCACCUCAGCAUAAGAGCUUUGUUGUAACUCAGGAUUGGUGGUCUUCUCAACUUCCAUCUUCUAGUCACUGGAGUGGUCCAAGUAUGACCUUGGAACCGAGUGCAGAUCACUUGAUCCGACAUGCAUGGCAGUCUGCAGUUGUUUGCAACCCUUCAUGGCUGUUGGAAUUGCUUCUUCAGCAUGUUGAAUGGAGUUAAGCUUUCGGACUGUUUGCUACAGGUGUUCCUUCCCAUCCAUUGUUGCCAUUUCCCUAAGGGGAACCAUUAUUCACUGUACAUUUGAAGUGCUGAAGAUUAAUAGACCCAUACCCUUUUGUAUUUGCCUCCUCUUGCCACAGGACACAGCAGGUUCCCCAACAAGUGAAGUGAGUGUCACUGGUUAAGUUUGUUUCAGUGAAAGACAGCACUUUUUGGUUAGUGGUGUAACACAGUGAGUUCUUUUGAAUUGGAGAUACACAGUGAUACUUUGUUUCUGAAAUAAUUUAUUGCCCAGCAGAUUCACAUUAAUUUCAAAAUGGUGUUACCAGCCUUGGCCAUCACCGUGCAUGUUAAGAUCAUAAAGUAGAUGAUGCUGUUCACUGCAAAAACCACAUUGUUUUUUGGUUAUGUUUGAUCUAUACAGGACACCUACCGUAUUUACUCGAAUCUAAGCCGCACCUGAAAAAUGAGACUCGAAAUCAAGGGGGAAAAAAAUUCCCAAAUAUAAGCCGCAUCUGAAAUCCGAGAAUUGAAAUUCAAGAGGAGAGAAAAGUUUUAGGUCGUACCUCCAAAUUGAAACAUAGUUGGUCCAUUGUAAUAUGAGACACAAUAUGGGUCAAAUGAAUGAUGAUACAGCUACAGUAGUUUGGUUCGAGUCAUAAGCUUAGCAGUUAAGCUUUACCAGGUAGCCAUUGCUAUGUGUCAGGGUACCCUUCGUUUUUCACGUGCUUCGUCUGGUUUGAAUUGAUUGCUUAUUUUUCUUUGAUCUGAUAAGUGCCGCUCUCUUUGUUAUAGAUGGCGCAGUGGUUAGCACACUGGGCUCGCAUUCGGGAGGACGACGGUUCAAUCCCGUCUCCGGCCAUCCUGAUUUAGGUUUUCCGUGAUUUCCCUAAAUCGCUUCAGGCAAAUGCCGGGAUGGUUUCUUUGAAAGGGCACGGCCGAUUUCCUUCCCCAUCCUUCCCUCACCCGAGCUUGCGCUCCAUCUCUAAUGACCUCGUUGUCAACGGGACGUUAAACACUAAUCUCCUCCUCCUCCUUUGUUAGAGAGAGAGAGAGAGGUUGCUAUUUUUUUGUUACUAACACUGCUGCUUUCUUUGACAAUGAUCAACAAGAACCAAAUAAUAGACUGCGUAUGAUAGAAGAUGAUCUGAACGAGAGUUUAGCGAAAAGUUCUAUCCGUUUGAAAAUCUUUACAAACACCUCUUUAGUACAUAACAUUCUGCAAAGAAAUUAGUCAUAUUAGAUUUCAAAAUCUAGUCAAACGCCGUGCUUCAUUUCUGACCGUAUCACUAUCAGGCAUAAGAAUAAUACAAAUAUAAACAUGAAAUGAUAUGUAUAUUCUUCCGCGUUUGCUGUUGUCUCACUCUAGUUUCGUAGUUUAUUAGGCAGAUAGGAUUUAAACGAGAUAGCAGCAAACACGAAAGAGUACAUGGCAAAGUGUUCAUAUUCAUAUUAUUCUUAUGGUGAAGAGAAUACUGCAUGUGAUUCACAAUUCAUAAAUGUUCCUAUUAGCAACCAUCUCUUCUCACAAACAGAUUUAUUAUGCUAAUCGGAAAUACAGAAGCAUCCAAUUCCACCCGUCUGCUUUGACCCAUGAUGUCACAAAUAUGGUGGAAACGACCAUACACUAAGACUCCAAUAUGGCACCUAUGAUGACGUCAUCACGUAAACAUGACCACAAACACGAAAAUACAUUGAAAACCCAACACACACACAUUUCACAAUAAACCUAAUGAAACCAACGGGACAAGUGUGGGAAAUUGGGGGGUUUUGGGUGGGGACAAAGUAAAUAUAAACAAAUUUAGACACACACCACCGUACCAAACCACACAAAAUGACCGAAAAAACCGACAACACAAAACUCCCCAAAUACCACUAAACCAAUAUCCUCUGGAAUCGACACUUCCCUUGACCUAUAUAGCUCAACAACAACUCCCGAUCCCACAAAUUGGAAUUGAACACUUCCCUUGACCUAUAUAGCUCAACAACAACUCCCCAUACCGAAAAACCCACAACCACACAUUGGAAUCGAACACUUCCCUUGACCUGUUAUUCUUAUGAAAUCUCCAGAUACAGCCGUCCCUGGUCCGAGAUGCCGGAACGUUAAGUAAGCCUCAUUUCUUCACGACAUACUGAACAUUUCACGACUUCAUCCAGAAAUCUGAAUAGCUGAAGAAAUUUUAUUAGAGACAACCUACUGUCCUCCAUCAUCGCCGACAACUGAAAACUGUUGACCUUGUCAGUCAUAUCCAUACCUACCAAAGACAUAAAAAAAGCAAUUUACCAAAACUCACUGGGAGACGAGUCUUUGGUAUUGACAGCUCGGUAGUGUCUUUCCGUUGCCUAGCGACCGCAGGCAGGCAGCCAAUGACGGCCUGACUUUGAGCGGGUAGCAAGGGCCACGUUGCCAUUCUGAAACCCGGUCGCGCGCGCAUACGAAACUUACCAGUGCCUCACAUGCAGGCGGUGCGGUUGUUCGUCGUUUGUCUGAAGUUGAAUUCACAGUUUAUUUCGUUUUUGUUGUUUUUAGUGUUUCUUUGUUUAUGUUUCGUUGUAAACAAUGUCUAGUGCGGCAGGUAGUACCCCCAACACAAGAAGUGAAACGGAGGAAGAAAAGUGUGCUACACACUCAGGCCCGUGAAUUCGUGUGCUCUGUGAGGAAUUACUUUGAGAAAAAAAAAGGACAAAGGUGGGCCCUUAAUUCCUGUUGUUCAGGUUGUGAAGAGAACUGCAGCAGCAUUGAAAAUAAGUAAGAACACUGUUGUAAAGAUAGGGAAAGAACAGUAUAGUGUAGAUUGUGAUGAGAGUGGCACAACAAAGCUGCACACACCAGGAAAGAAGCGACCGAGAAAUAAGCAGGUGACAGCUUUGGACGAUUUUCAGAAAGACGCUAUUCGUCCUCAUAUAUACAGCUAUUAUAAGAGAAGGGAACAUCCCACUCUAUCUAAAUUACUUGUGUCGCUUGAGAGAGACGAUCUUUUUAAAGGGAGCAAAUUUUCAUUGCGUGCAGUGUUGAAAGACAUAGGCUUCAGCUAUUCACUGUUUAACGGACGCAAAAUAUUAAUGGAAAGGACAGAUGUUGUUGCAUGGCAGUGCAGAUUUCUGCACAGGAUCAUGGGUGUGGAAUUCAAAAGUAUAGUGUGGUUAGAUGAAACUUGGGUCAAUGCCAGCCAUUCUUUACGUAGAGGCUGGAAUGAUGGAACACCCGAGGGGACAAUGGCAGUGCCUGUUGGCAAAGGAGGGCGUAUUAUUGUCUUACAUGCAGGAACAUUGAAAGGUUUUGUGCCAAACUGCAUGAAAAUGUUUCGGUAAAAAAAGACGGGAGAUUACCAUGAAGAAAUGAACAAUGUAGUAUUUCAAGAAUGGUUCGAGACAUCGCUUAUGACGAAUCUGACAAGUCCAUCAAAUAUUGUCAUGGACAAUGCGCCUUAUCAUUCCAUUGUUCACGAUAAGGCACCAACCUCGGCAACAAAAAAAGACGAUAUCAUUCAGUGGUUGAAACAGCGAAAAGUAGAUUUGAAAGAAGAUUUAAGGAAGGCGGAACUGCUCGAAAUUGUGGCACAAAAGAAACCCCAAUUUCCAACAUAUGUAAUUGAUGAGAUUGCUAAAAGGCACGGGCAUGAAAUCGUUCGGCUUCCUCCAUACCACUGACACUUCAAUGCAAUUGAAGGAGUGUGGGCGCAGAUAAAAAAUUACAUUGCUGCAAACAAUUAAAAAUUCAUGAACUCUGAAGUGGAAACUCUCCUUCCAGCAGCUAUCAAUAAAGUGACAAGCAAGACGUGGGCUAAAAUUGUAAACAGCACUGCAAGUGCCAUCAGAGAGGCGGCCGAAACCAAAGGGGUUGUGGAAGAAUGCAUCGAAAAUUUAAUUAUACAUCUGGGAGAGAGCAGUGAUAGUUCGAGUAGUGCUGAGGAAGACAAUGUCAAAUCAGAUUCUGACAGUGAUGUGAGUGGUGUUUUUCCAUAACAACGUAUUCAGGAAUGUAAGGAGGGAGUUUGCUAUUGAUCUACAACCAGAUCAUCAUAUUACACGGCGCCGCGUGCUGUGAGCCACGUUCGGCAACAGCGCCGUCUGCCCGCCGGAACUGUCAGUACCAAUCACUCGUCUCUCAGACUAUACAAUAACGUCAAAAUAACAAAACUAAGAUCGUUAACUCACUGAAAAAUAUUCCGCUGAAAGCACAGUCCUCAUACCACACACGUGCAAUGCUAUAACGCAAAAGAACCUCAUAAUCCACGUAACACACUACCCAUAAACACACCACCCCAGAGAGAACCACCAACCGCAACAAUACGCCACCUAUAAACACGCCACACAUGCAAACUAAACCAAAACAUCACCUAACACACCAUCAGAGAGCACUAUCAAUCACAUCAAAUCUACACCUACAAACACUACACUCUCACAAACGAAAGUCCGCGCCGUUGUGACAGUCCACACAACAACAGCCUUACGUCAUGGGUCAAAGCCGAUGGGUGGGAUUGGACUCUUCGGUCGACCCUGUUUAGCUGGCUGGUCUGAGGCGCCUUCUCACGGUUCACGUAGCUGCCCCACGUCGGAGGUUCGAGUCCUCCCUCAGGCAUGAGUUGUCUCCUGCAGUGGGAGAUGCCUGAUGGCCACUAUAGUGUGCAGGACCCAUUAAGCAUCGAUAAAGAGGAAUGUUCACCUCCAGAAGACUUUAUUGCACAUUCAGUAUUGAGAAGACUGAAGGCAAGGGAAAUAAGGAGGCUAUGAACGAGGACCACUUUGAGAUGAGUCAUGUUCCACAUGGUCUGUGUGUACCACUAGUGUGCUGCUGACAGCGGGGUAAAACAGACAAAGUUCAAGGACUUGAAACAUGGAGUGGAGUCAGCAAGUAGCGGCAUUGAACCAGAAAGGUACAAGCUCUACAGAGACAGUCCUGUGGCUCAAGUAAAUUUCUGACUUUUAUUAAAAGAUAAAACAAUACAUUCCACUCAAGCAUCUCACUCAUUAUAGAGGGAUGCUGACUCAGUUUUUCAGGACAGCAAAUGGGAAGAUGUAGUACAGAAAAUGGUCCGAGAUCACCAGACACCAGAGUGUCUGAGAUAUGAGUGAACAGUGUGGCAUUACAUUAUUUGUAAAAUAAAUAUUGUAUACCAGGAGUAAAUCUAAUGACUGUCUCUAACUAGAAGUUUGUAAAUGUAUGUGAAUGCGAAUUAGCUUAUUUUAUAUUGAUCUAAACUUGUAAAUACUUUGCCAUGUCCUAUAUCCUUGUAAAAAGAGUUCUACAAAGGAAUAAAGCUGCUGCUGCUGCUGCUGCUA